GACGAACGCUGGCGGCGUGCCUAAUACAUGCAAGUCGAACGCAUUUUCUUUCACCGUAGCUUGCUACACCGAAAGAAAAUGAGUGGCGAACGGGUGAGUAACACGUGGGUAACCUGCCCAUCAGCGGGGGAUAACACUUGGAAACAGGUGCUAAUACCGCAUAAUUCCAUUUACCGCAUGGUAGAUGGGUGAAAGGCGCUUUUGCGUCCCUGAUGGAUGGACCCGCGGUGCAUUAGCUAGUGGGUGGGGUAACGGCCUACCAAGGCUGCGAUGCAUAGCCGACCUGAGAGGGUGCUCGGCCACACUGGGACUGAGACACGGCCCAGACUCCUACGGGAGGCAGCAGUAGGGAAUCUUCGGCGAUGGACGCAAGUCUGACCGAGCAACGCCGCGUGAGUGAAGAAGGUUUUCGGAUCGUAAAACUCUGUUGUUAGAGAAGAACAAGGAUGAGAGUGGAAAGUUCAUCCCUUGACGGUAUCUAACCAGAAAGCCACGGCUAACUACGUG
rnacentral:rRNA from 1 species